AGUGAAGGGUGUGGAGUACUGUAUGUGUGAAAUGGGACUGUCGCCGUUUUUAAUCGCAUGCCAUCCGCAUGUUUUUCAUUGUAAUUCAAUAAAGCCUCAGUUAAACCAGAUAUUAUUUUUUAUCGUCCGAGUGACUGAUGGCGAAGAAGAUAUAAAACAUGGCUGAAUGAUUAAAGAGAGACUAACGUCAAUGGCAGCCUCACUGUCUUGCCUUAUUUGCAGACAAGCAAACAUGUCAACUGCAACCUCACAUUUCAUGAAAAGUUCAACCAGAAACUUGCAUGAAUGCAGUGAAUUGAGAAGGUGAAACAUAAGAGAUUUAACCUUUGAUUGUUUUGCUGUGAUGGGUCCCUUGGUACAUUUUGAUUAAGGAAGGAUGCUUUGUAUACUGCUGCUAUGACCAGUGGAUGGAAUAUCUGCAGGAUUUCAGAAGUCAGCUUGACCUAUUCAGGUUCAUCAUGAAGGUGCAUCAUUUGUCGUUUACCUUUUGUGACACUGGGAAUGUGCUUCAAUUUUGAAGAAAGUCCUCUUCUAGCAUUUAGGCUGGAACUUUACUGGGAAAACUGUUCUAGGAGCUCACUGUUUUUCUUGUUCGUGUACAAGAAUUCAAUAACCUACUUACUCAACUGGACAGUGUACUUUGUAAAUUAUCAGGGUUUUUUUUUGUGUGCUCUUAAUUCAUAUUAUGGCCUGUAGAAGUUGUAGAAAAAACAUCAGGACUGUCCACAUAUUUAUGGAAGUUAUGUAGUAGAAAGACAGACGGAACAUAACACUUUAUGAAAAAGCUUAUUAUGCCUAUUUUGGAAUAAAACUUGGUAACCAGGACAUACGGUGGGCCCCUUAAUUUGUCUGCUCUAUUUAUGUUGAAGACUGUGGACAAAAGGUAAGGUUCUUGCUUUUGGUGUUCCAAUAAUAUGGAGGGAAACCAAAAAUCAUAGUAACAAUUAUUUCUGUUACUGCAAAACUCGAGGAAUUAGUUUAUCCAACUCUUCUUUCGGCAGUAAGACCUAUAGUACAUGGACCUGAUGUACUAGUCCCCACUCGACCUGACAGUCUUAAUUCUGUAGCAACUCGCCAACAGGGCAAAAAUACUUCAGCUGAUGAAUUUGGCCCAGCAUGUUUAAGCAACGAGCCAUGACCAAUGUUCCCUCUAAGGAGUAGCAUAUAGUGAGCAAAAAACAUUGUUUAUGAGCGACAUUUUGUUUAAGCCAAAAAUUUAUGAGCACCAACUCAGACGGUCGGAGUGAGCGAUAGUGCGAUAAGUACGAGCGACGCCGUUGGAAUGAGCGAUCGUGCGGGAAGUAUGAGCGACGCUCUGAAUUCAUGUGAACGAUCGCUCACGCGCUCAGCUUAGAGGGAACAUUGGCCAUGACCAUUUCACGCAUGAUGACCGUAAUGAUUUAGUAAGAGAUCUAGGCCUUCCCAUAGAUGAUGCAGUGCUCUUGGAGUCCUGAUUAAAAACUUGUUACAUCCAGACACACCUUUCUCUUGGCACUGCUAUAGAGAAGAGUUUGCAGCAUAUUUCAAGAACGAUGGGUUCCUAGUUUUUCUGUCAUAAGUGGCCUAGUGCAGAAACUUGGCAGUGCCGAAGAAUGGAGAAUAUUUAUAGCCUCCUCUAAAAGGAGUGCUAGUUAAACAGUAAUAAAUACACAUCACCACACUUUACAUUUUUUUGUGGUUUGAAAAUCUCAAGCAAAUUAAAGUGCACCAGGGAGGUUGGGAUGUCGGUAUGAUUGCAGACUACUGUUAGGUGGUGCAUAGGGAGACUUCAGAAAGUGUACAAAUGACUGACCAUCAAAUAAUUUGGAUCAAAAAAUCAGUUAAACUAAACAAGUUAAAUGUAAACUAAAUCUGUAUAGUUCUUUAAAAGUGCUGAAAACUUUUGUAGAAUUUCAUAUUAAAAUGACAGAGCAAUAUUGUGUGUGUGUGUGAAUGAAUAAAUUGUAAUUAAGUCUCGAAUAAAUUGUAAUUAAGUCUCUUCAAUUUUGUACUUCUGAUGUGAUGGAACUUUUUCUUCAU